rnacentral:rRNA from 1 species
CGAAGGUCCCAAGCGUUAUCCGGAUUUAUUGGGUUUAAAGGGUGCGUAGGCGGGCUAUUAAGUCGGUGGUGAAAGCCCCAAGCUUAACUUGGGAACUGCCAUUGAUACUGAUGGUCUUGAGUACAUUUGAGGUGGGCGGAAUGUGUCAUGUAGCGGUGAAAUGCUUAGAUAUGACACAGAACACCGAUUGCGAAGGCAGCUCACUAAACUGUAACUGACGCUGAGGCACGAAAGCGUGGGGAGCAAACAGGAUUAGAUACCCUGGUAGUCCACGCCCUAAACGAUGAUCACUCGAUGCGUGCGAUAUACUGUACGCGUCUGAGCGAAAGCAUUAAGUGAUCCACCUGGGGAGUACGACCGCAAGGUUG